AAAUAGGCUACUGCACAGUUCAGAUGUUUCCAGUGCAACCAAACACUACACCAGUUGGUCUAUAUGAUUAUUUAAUUUGUCAGGUAUAUGGUAAUCAGCUGCAGUGUUUUUUAUAAACCUUUAUUUAUCCAGGGCAGGGUCACUGUUUACAAAUACUGUUUUGUUUUUUUAGAAAGGCUAUGCCUCAUACUCAUACUGUACAAAUAUAAUCCCAUCUGGAAGCUGCCAAGCCAUACUAAAUCCACAGCCUUAUCUGUUGGAAAGGUUUAGACUGGGGCAUGACUCGCAUCAGUGUGCUGGUAUUACAGAAACACUCAAACCUAUAAAAAUCCAAGAAAUUUGAAUAGGACAUUGAUAUCAUAUAAAUAUACAGUACUACUCUGCUUUGUCAAUAUAUCUUUGGAACUUCAGAAGGCAGCAGCCAAUUUAAUCAACCCUAAUUAAUUAGUUCAACACUACUUGACAGGUUCACUUCUGAGCCAUAGACAGGUGACAAAUUAAAGGAAGAAAACCUGAAUAAAUGAGUGGAGAAACAGAAUGCAAAUGCGUUCAUACCUGGGUGUCACUGAAUGGUUUUAUGAGCAUGGAAACUAUGUGAAUCAUAUGAUAUGACCUUCCCAGUCAGCAGGUCUGACCCCAAUUGAACAGGAGAUUUUGGACCCAAAUAAGGGAAUGUCUACUGGAUGAGUGGUGUUGAUCCUUCCAGUAGAAAGCACUGAAGAUGAUCUGGCGGCUCGUUACUAAGACAUCAAGACAGUUAAUGUUGUUUU